AGUGAACGCUGGCGGUAGGCCUAACACAUGCAAGUCGAACGGCAGCACAGUAAGAGCUUGCUCUUACGGGUGGCGAGUGGCGGACGGGUGAGGAAUACAUCGGAAUCUACUUUUUCGUGGGGGAUAACGUAGGGAAACUUACGCUAAUACCGCAUACGACCUACGGGCGAAAGCAGGGGAUCUUCGGACCUUGCGCGAUUGAAUGAGCCGAUGUCGGAUUAGCUAGUUGGCGGGGUAAAGGCCCACCAAGGCGACGAUCCGUAGCUGGUCUGAGAGGAUGAUCAGCCACACUGGAACUGAGACACGGUCCAGACUCCUACGGGAGGCAGCAGUGGGGAAUAUUGGACAAUGGGCGCAAGCCUGAUCCAGUCAUACCGCGUGGGUGAAGAAGGCCUUCGGGUUGUAAAGCCCUUUUGUUGGGAAAGAAAAGCAGCAGGUUAAUACCCCGCUGUUCUGACGGUACCCAAAGAAUAAGCACCGGCUAACUUCGUG
rnacentral:rRNA from 1 species